rnacentral:tRNA from 1 species
GCAUCGGUGGUUUAGUGGUAAAAUUAGCCGUUGCCACCCAGCAACAUCGGCUAGCCCCGGGUUCGAUUCCCGGCCGAUGCA